AGAGUUUGAUCCUGGCNCNNGNNNAANGCUGGCGGCGUGCUUAACACAUGCAAGUCNAGCGAUGAAGUUCCUUCGGGAACGGAUUAGCGGCGGACGGGUGAGUAACACGUGGGUAACCUGCCUCAUAGAGGGGAAUAGCCUUUCGAAAGGAAGAUUAAUACCGCAUAAGAUUGUAGCUUCGCAUGAAGUAGCAAUUAAAGGAGUAAUCCGCUAUGAGAUGGACCCGCGUCGCAUUAGCUAGUUGGUGAGGUAACGGCUCACCAAGGCGACGAUGCGUAGCCGACCUGAGAGGGUGAUCGGCCACAUUGGGACUGAGACGCGGCCCAGACUCCUACGGGAGGCAGCAGUGGGGAAUAUUGCACAAUGGGGGAAACCCUGAUGCAGCAACGCCGCGUGAGUGAUGACGGUCUUCGGAUUGUAAAACUCUGUCUUCAGGGACGAUAAUGACGGUACCUGAGGAGGAAGCCACGGCUAACUACGUGCCAGCCGCCGCGGUAAUUC
rnacentral:rRNA from 1 species